rnacentral:tRNA from 1 species
GUAGGCCUGGUAGACGGUGAUUGUGGUGUCCGUGUGCCGGGCACGGAUGCGGAACUUCGGUUCGGUUUCGACGGCUUGCGC